GUUUCGGCUAUCGCUUACAGAUGGGCCCGCGGUGCAUUAGCUAGUUGGUAGGGUAAUGGCCUACCAAGGCAACGAUGCAUAGCCGACCUGAGAGGGUGAUCGGCCACACUGGGACUGAGACACGGCCCAGACUCCUACGGGAGGCAGCAGUAGGGAAUCUUCCGCAAUGGACGAAAGUCUGACGGAGCAACGCCGCGUGUAUGAAGAAGGUUUUCGGAUCGUAAAGUACUGUUGUUAGAGAAGAACAAGGAUAAGAGUAACUGCUUGUCCCUUGACGGUAUCUAACCAGAAAGCCACGGCUAACUACGUGCCAGCAGCCGCGGUAAUACGUAGGUGGCAAGCGUUGUCCGGAUUUAUUGGGCGUAAAGCGCGCGCAGGCGGUCUUUUAAGUCUGAUGUGAAAGCCCCCGGCUUAACCGGGGAGGGUCAUUGGAAACUGGAAGACUGGAGUGCAGAAGAGGAGAGUGGAAUUCCACGUGUAGCGGUGAAAUGCGUAGAUAUGUGGAGGAACACCAGUGGCGAAGGCGACUCUCUGGUCUGUAACUGACGCUGAGGCGCGAAAGCGUGGGGAGCAAACAGGAUU
rnacentral:rRNA from 1 species